rnacentral:rRNA from 1 species
AGGACGAACGCUGGCGGCGUGCUUAACACAUGCAAGUCGAGCGGAAAGGCCACUUCGGUGGUACUCGAGCGGCGAACGGGUGAGUAACACGUGAGUAAUCUGCCCUUGGCUUUGGGAUAGCCACCGGAAACGGUGAUUAAUACCGGAUAUGACAUGGACUCGCAUGGGUUUGUGUGGAAAGUUUUUCGGCCAGGGAUGUGCUCGCGGCCUAUCAGCUUGAUGGUGAGGUAAUGGCUCACCAUGGCUUCGGACGGGUAGCCGGCCUGAGAGGGUGACCGGUCACACGUGGGACUGGACGACACGGCCCAGACCU